UCUGUGUGUAAAAAAUAUAAAGUCUAGCCUGCCCACUGAAUUUUAAAGGGCCGCGGUAAUUUGACCGUGCGAAGGUAGCAUAAUCAAUAGCCUCUUAAUUAGAGGCUGGAAUGAAUGGUUGAACAAAAGAAAAGCUGUCUUGUUAAUGUAUUUCAAAUUUAACUUUUAAGUGAAAAGGCUUAAAUAACUUAAAGGGACGAUAAGACCCUAUAAAACUUUACAAUUUAACUUUAGUCUUUGAAUUAAGUAAAUAAAAUUAAAAGUAGAUUGUUGGGCUGGGGCGGCCUAAAUAAAUCAUUAACUGUUUCAAAAAUUAAAUAUUUAUAAAUAGAUUAUUGAUCCUUUUUUAAGGAUUAAAAGUUUAAGUUACUUUAGGGAUAACAGCGUGAUUUUUUCUGAGAGUUCUUAUCGACGAAAUUAGUUGCGACCUCGAUGUUGAAUUAAGGGUUGCUUAAAUAAGUAGAAAUAUUUAAAGUACGUCUGUUCGACGUUUAAAUCC
rnacentral:rRNA from 1 species